CUACGGGCCGCUGCAGUGAGGAAUAUUGCACAAUGGGGGGAACCCUGAUGCAGCAACGCCGCGUGGAGGAUGACGCAUUUCGGUGUGUAAACUCCUUUUAUAUGUCAAGAAAAUGACGGUAGCAUAUGAAUAAGCACCGGCUAACUCCGUGCCAGCAGCCGCGGUAAUACGGAGGGUGCAAGCGUUACUCGGAAUCACUGGGCGUAAAGGACGCGUAGGCGGGUUGGAAAGUCAGGUGUGAAAUCCUACAGCUUAACUGUAGAACUGCACUUGAAACUUCUAAUCUAGAGUAUGGGAGGGGGAGAUAGAAUUAGUGGUGUAAUGGUAAAAUCCGUAGAUAUCACUAGGAAUACCUAAAGCGAAGGCGAUCUCCUGGAACAUUACUGACGCUAAGGCAUGAAAGCGUGGGGAGCAAACAGGAUUAGAUACCCGCGUAGUC
rnacentral:rRNA from 1 species